AGAGUUUGAUCCUGGCUCAGGACGAACGCUGGCGGCGUGCCUAAAACAUGCAAGUCGAACGGUGAACCGGAGCUUGCUCCGGGAAUCAGUGGCGAACGGGUGAGUAACACGUGAGAAACCUGCCUCGAAGUCCGGGAUAAGCCAGGGAAACUUGGUCUAAUACCGGAUACCUCCAACACAUCUUUUGUUGAGUUGAAGAAAGUUUUUCGCUUCGAGAGGGUCUCGCGUCCUAUCAGCUUGUUGGUGGGGUAACGGCCUACCAAGGCUUCGACGGGUAGCUGGUCUGAGAGGAUGGUCAGCCACACUGGGACUGAGACACGGCCCAGACUCCUACGGGAGGCAGCAGUUAGGAAUCUUGCGCAAUGGACGAAAGUCUGACGCAGCAACGCCGCGUGAGGGAUGAAGGCUUUCGGGUUGUAAACCUCUUUCAGCAGGAACGAAAUUGACGGUACCUGCAGAAGAAGCUCCGGCCAACUACGUGCCAGCAGCCGCGGUAAUACGUAGGGAGCAAGCGUUGUCCGGAUUUAUUGGGCGUAAAGAGCUCGUAGGCGGCUUAGAAAGUCAGGUGUGAAAACUCUGGGCUUAACCCAGAGACGCCACUUGAUACUUCUAUGGCUUGAGUUCGGUAGGGGACCAUGGAAUUCCUGGUGUAGCGGUGAAAUGCGCAGAUAUCAGGAGGAACACCGAUGGCGAAGGCAGUGGUCUGGGCCGAUACUGACGCUGAGGAGCGAAAGCGUGGGGAGCGAACAGGAUUAGAUACCCUAGUAGUCC
rnacentral:rRNA from 1 species